rnacentral:rRNA from 1 species
UACGGAGGGGGCUAGCGUUGUUCGGAAUUACUGGGCGUAAAGGGCGCGUAGGCGGACAGUUUAGUCAGAGGUGAAAGCCCAGGGCUCAACCUUGGAAUUGCCUUUGAUACUGGCUGUCUUGAGUUCGGGAGGGGUGAGUGGAAUGCCGAGUGUAGAGGUGAAAUUCGUAGAUAUUCGGAGGAACACCAGUGGCGAAGGCGGCUCACUGGUCCAUUACUGACGCUGAGGUGCGAAAGCGUGGGGAGCAAACAGG